ACCCUGGUUGGGUGCAACCUGGUACUGCGCUAGCCUUGAGAGCUGGUUUCCGCAAGGAUAUCCCGGUUCAAAUCCGGGCCACGGCG
rnacentral:tRNA from 1 species